GUCACCGUCCAGCAUGAGCCUCCACUCCAGAGUUGCUGACGGCUAUCAGCCUUCAGACCAGAAAAUUACAGCGCUUGAUGCCAACUUUUUUAUGAUGGUAACCUUGAGUAUAAAGCAAGGUUAGCAUUUGGUACGAUGCUAGUACUGGUGACUGGUUCUAUCUAGCUGUGUUUCGGAAAACUGUGCAGAAUGAUGCGCGUCGUUGGGUUUUGAAUCCGUGUCAUUAUUACGAACGCAGGGGGGACAGAGGCGUAGGGCCACAAACUGACGAGAUGGGGCCAAAACACAGGUCAGUGCCGCGUGACUUGAGUCGGAUCGGAGAUGCCACUGGCCAUGGGUGUGGGCACACAGGCAGUCAGGGAAGAAAGAUGGAAGUGAAGAGUGCACGUAUAGUGUUCAACUGCUGUCUCUACUCUCUACUCCCUGCCCCCCAUGAAUUUGCCGCAGGGCACACCUCCUCUCUCACUGGAUCCGACGAGCCGUGCACCGCGCCAGUCUGGCUGCAGCAGCACCACAAUACCACAUGU
rnacentral:lncRNA from 7 species